UACGGGAGGCAGCAGUGGGGAAUAUUGCACAAUGGGCGAAAGCCUGAUGCAGCUAUGCCGCGUGUAUGAAGAAGGCCUUAGGGUUGUAAAGUACUUUCAUCGGGGAGGAAAAAACAAAACUAAUAAUUUUAUUUCUUGACGUUACCCGAAAAAGAAGCACCGGCUAACUCCGUGCCAGCAGCCGCGGUAAUACGGAGGGUGCUAGCGUUAAUCAGAAUUACUGGGCGUAAAGAGCACGUAGGUGGUUUUUUUAAGUCAGAUGUGAAAUCCCUGGGCUUUAACCUAGGAACUGCAUUUUGAAACUGAAAUACUAGAGUAUCGUAGAGGGAGGUAGAAUUCUAGGUGUAGCGGUGAAAUGCGUAGAUAUCUGGAGGAAUACCUGUGGCGAAAGCGGCCUCCUAAACGAAUACUGACACUGAGGGUGCGAAAGCGUGGGGGAGCGAAACAGGGAUUAGAUACC
rnacentral:rRNA from 1 species